CCUACGGGUGGCAGCAGUGAGGAAUAUUGGUCAAUGGGCGCGAGCCUGAACCAGCCAAGUCGCGUGAGGGAAGACGGUCCUAUGGAUUGUAAACCUCUUUUGUCGGGGAGCAAAAGACGCCACGCGUGGCGUUCCGAGAGUACCCGAAGAAAAAGCAUCGGCUAACCCCGUGCCAGCAGCCGCGGUAAUACGGAGGAUGCGAGCGUUAUCCGGAUUUGUUGGGUUUAAAGGGUGCGCAGGCGGAAGAUCAAGUCAGCGGUAAAAUUGAGAGGCUCAACCUCUUAGAGCCGUUGAAACUGGUUUUCUUGGGUGAGCGAGAAGUAUGCGGGAUGCGUGGUGUAGCGGUGAAAUGCAUAGAUAACACGCAGAACUUCGAUUGCGAAGGCAGCAUACCGGCGCUCAACUGACGCUCAUGCACGAAAGUGUGGGUAUCGAACAGGAUUAGAUACCCCUGUAGUC
rnacentral:rRNA from 1 species